rnacentral:rRNA from 1 species
AACGAACGCUGGCGGCAUGCCUAACACAUGCAAGUCGAGCGAGGCCUUCGGGUCUAGUGGCGCACGGGUGCGUAACGCGUGGGAACCUGCCUUUAGGUUCGGAAUAACUCAGAGAAAUUUGAGCUAAUACCGGAUGAUGUCUUCGGACCAAAGAUUUAUCGCCUUUAGAUGGGCCCGCGUUGGAUUAGCUAGUUGGUGGGGUAAAGGCCUACCAAGGCGACGAUCCAUAGCUGGUCUGAGAGGAUGAUCAGCCACACUGGGACUGAGACACGGCCCAGACUCCUACGGGAGGCAGCAGUGGGGAAUAUUGGACAAUGGGCGAAAGCCUGAUCCAGCAAUGCCGCGUGAGUGAUGAAGGCCUUAGGGUUGUAAAGCUCUUUUACCCGAGAUGAUAAUGACAGUAUCGGGAGAAUAAGCUCCGGCUAACUCCGUG